GGGGCUGUGGCUCAGCGGUAGAGCCUCUGCUUAGUAUGCAGAAGGGUCCCGGGUUCAAUCUCCGGCAUCUCCA